rnacentral:pre_miRNA from 1 species
UUGGGUGAAACCCAUGUGGAUCCCACACUUUGGAAAUGGAUCCCACAUAAAGUGGUGAGACCCACAUGGAUUUUAUUCAA